rnacentral:rRNA from 1 species
ACUCCUACGGGAGGCAGCAGUGGGGAAUAUUGCACAAUGGGCGCAAGCCUGAUGCAGCCAUGCCGCGUGUAUGAAGAAGGCCUUCGGGUUGUAAAGUACUUUCAGCGGGGAGGAAGGCAAUACGGUUAAUAACCGUGUUGAUUGACGUUACCCGCAGAAGAAGCACCGGCUAACUCCGUGCCAGCAGCCGCGGUAAUACGGAGGGUGCAAGCGUUAAUCGGAAUUACUGGGCGUAAAGCGCACGCAGGCGGUCUGUCAAGUCGGAUGUGAAAUCCCCGGGCUCAACCUGGGAACUGCAUUCGAAACUGGCAGGCUUGAGUCUUGUAGAGGGGGGUAGAAUUCCAGGUGUAGCGGUGAAAUGCGUAGAGAUCUGGAGGAAUACCGGUGGCGAAGGCGGCCCCCUGGACAAAGACUGACGCUCAGGUGCGAAAGCGUGGGGAGCAAACAGGAUUAGAUACCCGGGUAGUCCCAUG